rnacentral:rRNA from 1 species
UGCGUAGGCGGAUUAAUAAGUCAGUGGUGAAAACCUGCAGCUUAACUGUAGAACUGCCAUUGAUACUGUUAGUCUUGAGUACGGUCAAGGUAGGCGGAAUGUGUAAUGUAGCGGUGAAAUGCUUAGAUAUUACACAGAACACCGAUUGCGAAGGCAGCUUACUGGACCAUUACUGACGCUGAGGCACGAAAGCGUGGGGAGUGAACAGGAUUAGAUACCCUGGUAGUC